CAUGCCGCGUGUGUGAAGAAGGCCUUUUGGUUGUAAAGCACUUUAAGCGAGGAGGAGGCUACUUGGAUUAAUACUCUAGGAUAGUGGACGUUACUCGCAGAAUAAGCACCGGCUAACUCUGUGCCAGCAGCCGCGGUAAUACAGAGGGUGCGAGCGUUAAUCGGAUUUACUGGGCGUAAAGCGUGCGUAGGCGGCUUUUUAAGUCGGAUGUGAAAUCCCUGAGCUUAACUUAGGAAUUGCAUUCGAUACUGGGAAGCUAGAGUAUGGGAGAGGAUGGUAGAAUUCCAGGUGUAGCGGUGAAAUGCGUAGAGAUCUGGAGGAAUACCGAUGGCGAAGGCAGCCAUCUGGCCUAAUACUGACGCUGAGGUACGAAAGCAUGGGGAGCAAACAGGAUUAGAUACCCUGGUAGUCCAUGCCGUAAACGAUGUCUACUAUUUUGUUUAGGCCUUUGAGGCUUUAGUGGCGCAGCUAACGCGAUAAGUAGACCGCCUGGGGAGUACGGUCGCAAGAUUAAACCUCGUAAUUGACGGGGGCCCGCACAAGCGGUGGAGCAUUUCUGCUCGAUGCAACGCGAAGAACCUUACCUGG
rnacentral:rRNA from 1 species